rnacentral:rRNA from 1 species
GAUGAACGCUGGCGGCGUGCUUAACACAUGCCAGUCGAACGGAAAGGCCUCUGCUUGCAGGGGUACUCGAGUGGCGAACGGGUGAGUAACACGUGGGUGAUCUGCCCUGCACUUCGGGAUAAGCCUGGGAAACUGGGUCUAAUACCGGAUAGGACAAUGGUUUGGAUGCUGUUGUGGAAAGUUUUUCGGUGUGGGAUGAGCUCGCGGCCUAUCAGCUUGUUGGUGGGGUAAUGGCCUACCAAGGCGUCGACGGGUAGCCGGCCUGAGAGGGUGUACGGCCAGAUUGGGACUGAGAUACGGCCCAGACUCCUACGGGGGGCAGCAGUGGGGAAUAUUGCACAAUGGGCGCAAGCCUGAUGCAGCGACGCCGCGUGGGGGAUGACGGCCUUCGGGUUGUAAACUCCUUUCGCUAGGGAAGAAGCGUUUUUGUGACGGUACCUGGAGAAGAAGCACCGGCUAACUACGUG